rnacentral:rRNA from 1 species
UACAGAGAGUGCAAACGUUGUUCGGAAUUACUGGGCUUAAAGCGCACGUAGGCGGCGCCGCAAGUGUGGGGUGAAAGCCCACGGCUUACCCGUGGAAUUGCCUGGCAGACUGCGGCGCUAGAGUGUGGUAGGGGAGAGUGGAAUUCCCGGUGUAGCGGUGAAAUGCGCAGAUAUCGGGAAGAACACCCGUGGCGAAGGCGGCUCUCUGGGUCGGACCUGACGCUGAGGCGCGAAAGCGUGGGGAGCGAACGGG